GGGUCUAGGGCCAGAAGUAUAUAAGCCCAGGUCUGAACAAACUGGAGAGGAAGAGAUUGAUUCCAGCAAGCUUCAAGCAGAACUGCAGCUGCUCUACAAGGGAGAGCAUCCAGCAGUAGAGACUGAAAUGGGGAGCCUAUGAAAAGAAAGCAAGCAAAUAUUCUGUUAGCAUGGUGAAAGUGUGAUCAACAAACUGCUGAGGGUCAUCAGGGCAGAAAAGAAGAAAGCACCUCAUUUACCCUUGAAUUAGCAAUGUUUGUUACCUUCCUCCCGUCGGGAAGGCCCAGACUGCAGCUGCACUGCCACACACUGACCUUUCCGGUGAAAUACGUUUGACCUGAAAAAAAUUAGAAGAAAAAAAAGCCCAAGAAUCUUAACCCUGUGAAGAAACACAAUGAAAUUCAGUGAUACAUGACAGUCCUGCUGUUAAUUCACAAGGAAGCAUGUCUGCCUAAGCGUACAAAGACAGUGGUUGUAUGUUAUAAAUAAAAGGCUGUUAAUUUGUACAUCUGGAGAGCAUUAACCUACUGCAAGCACUUCCAGAGCAGUCUUGAAGAGACAAAGGUUUUGUAAUUAUACUUUUUGAAAUGUAUUUUAUUGAGAAAUUUGAAUGGGAUUCUGUUCUGGAAAUGUCUUGACUUAGAAUACUUUAAACCAAGAUUAAAACAAAAGAAAAGAAAAAGAAAAAAGAAACUCUGUUAAACAAAAUAUCCUUAAUUUUGGGGAACGUUAUCCCUUGGUGACUGAAAUCCUCCAUCGACUAAGGAACAGGCAUAACAGCAGUAUAAAUAUUACCAUGGCAUUUCUGUCAACUUGCCUUAGUCCUUGUUUGGAGAGACUGGGGCAGCAGGAUAGAGUUCCUUCUC